GGAUUGUAGCUUAGUCGGUUAAAAGCUCAGGCCUGCCACGCCUGGAUCGCGGGUUCGAGUCCAGUCAUGAACCU
rnacentral:tRNA from 1 species